UUCUUGGCAUGUGGUGGCGUUGUUAUUUAUAUUUCAGGAGGUUGAAAUGAUGUCAAAUAUACAAGAAUCCACUGUAGUGUUAAAAGCUUCUGCUCAUAUCGCAUCUUACAGUUCUUGAUAACAACUGUAAACACAUGAAGUGGCCAUGGCAUUUUUAUUGGAAAAGGCACUUCAUUUUGCCCAUAUGGGGAAAUGUUUUGUGACUUCAGAAGAGAGACUGGGUGGGCAGUCCAUCUGCAAGCAUGACAG